rnacentral:rRNA from 1 species
UACGGAGGGUGCAAGCGUUAUCCGGAUUUACUGGGUUUAAAGGGUGCGUAGGCGGGCCUUUAAGUCAGUGGUGAAAGCUCCGAGCUUAACUCGGAAACUGCCAUUGAUACUAUUGGUCUUGAAUUCGGUCGAGGUUGGCGGAAUGUGUCGUGUAGCGGUGAAAUGCGCAGAUAUCGGGAGGAACACCGGUGGCGAAGGCGGCGAUCUGGGUCGAUACUGACGCUGAGGUGCGAAAGCGUGGGGAGCAAACAGG